AAAAUGGUUGAUUUGCGUUCAGUUGAUGUAAGAUGAGAUCUUGCAGCCCUUA
rnacentral:tRNA from 1 species